UCAGAUCAGACUCCAUCGACCCCUUUUCCCUACUUUCAGAUUCACGCGACCCCGAAAACCCUUUUCUCAACUUUCAGAUUCAUGCAUCCUUGAAACUAUUUCUCACCUCUCGAGGCCGCCGUAGUUGCUAGACUUUCUCUUCAUCGUUUUGAUUCCAUAGUGCAGGGGCUGUUUUGUAACCUAACUACACCUAAAUAGAGGGGAAGAUACCCGAUUACGCUUUCUCUUCUUUGACGAUGCAGUGGGGGAACCGAUAAAGGUAUGUAGAACAUAUUUUGUAACCUUAUGCAAGAAAGGUAGCUAUGAUGCUCCUGUUAUCUUUCUAAAGUGUUUUGUCUUCUGACUGCUUGAAAUUUUAAGUUCAUUGUGAUUUUGAUAAAUGGCAAGUGGAUCCUAGUUCCCUUUUGUUAUUGUUUCCAAUUCCACUUGCAAUUUGAAAAUCUUUGUAAACUACAUCAACACCAAGUUAAGUGAAUCAACUCCAAAUGACUGCAUGUAUUGAAGAAAUGACCUAUAGUAAGUCAAACUCAAGGUGAUGGUAUCUUUCAACAAUUAAGUGUGAGCCACGUUACAAAUUGGG